rnacentral:rRNA from 1 species
UACGGGGGGUGCAAACGUUGCUCGGAAUCAUUGGGCGUAAAGCGCACGUAGGCGGUCUGAUAAGUCGGAUGUGAAAGCCCUCGGCUCAACCGAGGAAGUGCAUUCGAAACUGCCAGACUUGAAUAUGGAAGAGGGUCGCGGAAUUCCCGGUGUAGAGGUGAAAUUCGUAGAUAUCGGGAGGAACACCGGUGGCGAAGGCGGCCGACUGGGCCGACCCUGACGCUGAGGCGCGAAGGCGUGGGGAGCGAACGGG